GUAGAGCCAGUCUGACUCUGCCCGACAUGGGCACAGAUUCAGAAUAGAGCUGUCACUAAUUGGUCCCAUCUAUCGCCACCACAAAUCUGUGAGAAAUCGGAGGCAUCUUUCUGAGAAGAACAGAAAUCUAAUGCGUUUUGUAACUCAACCAUGGUCAGAGUUUAAAACUUGAUGAGAAGAUUUACUCUUUCGGGCCCUGGAGGAACAAGGCAAGUUAUGGAUCUUGAACAGACAAAUAGGACAUCACUGGGAAGGCAGACAGAGUGUGACAGAAAUUCUUUCACAUGUGAUACUAAUGUGCUUCCUGCAUGUUUUCUGACACACCAUGUCACCAUGCAUGUUUAAAUUUGUUCAGGUGGUUUGCCAGGAACACAGUUAUCAGGUCAAAGAUGGGUACUUUGAAAGCCACAAAGGAAGUCUAAUACACAGAAAUAAAAGCCAAGUGAACAGUGGCUGAAUCACAAGCCUCAGGUUAACCUUCUUGGGACCACAAGCCUUUCGCAGAACUGAAAUACACACCUUCGUGUGAAAUUGACUCCUUGCAGAUUGCUAUUGAUCACAAUUAUAGACAUAAAUUAACUGAGUGUAGAGAAUUGUGGAACAUGCCUCAAUUCAUGGUUGUCCUGAAAUUUUUAUUUAAAAAAUUGCAAUCUGUGGUCCAGAGAGGUUAUCACAAUCCUUUAUCUGAUGAAGUACAUUA